rnacentral:rRNA from 1 species
GGGCCCGCACAAGCGGUGGAGCAUGUGGUUUAAUUCGAUGAUACGCGAGGAACCUUACCAGGGCUUAAAUGUAGUCUGACAGAUUUGGAAACAGAUUUUUCUUCGGACAGAUUACAAGGUGCUGCAUGGUUGUCGUCAGCUCGUGCCGUGAGGUGUCAGGUUAAGUCCUAUAACGAGCGCAACCCCUGUGGUUAGUUGCCAGCGAGUCAAGUCGGGAACUCUAGCCAGACUGCCGGUGCAAACCGUGAGGAAGGUGGGGAUGACGUCAAAUCAUCACGGCCCUUACGUCCUGGGCCACACACGUGCUACAAUGGUCGGUACAGAGGGCAGCUACCACGCGAGUGGAUGCAAAUCUCGAAAGCCGAUCUCAGUUCGGAUUGGAGUCUGCAACUCGACUCUAUGAAGCUGGAAUCGCUAGUAAUCG